rnacentral:lncRNA from 1 species
CAGCUUUAGAUAGCUUGGGAUAGUGAAACAAGAAUGAGGUUUAGAAUUAGGCCUAAAUGGAGCUAAAUACCCACAUUGCCACCACUUUUGACCUGUAUGACCUUAACAAGUUCUUCAAGUUCUAGUUCAUCUGUCUGUCAAAUGGGAACAUAAACAUUUGUUUUACAGAGUUGCUAUAAAUAUUUAGCAUUAGGUCCUUAAAAAUAUUGGUUUUCUUUUCCCAAAAUAUCUACCUUCCUUUCCUCCCCUCUUCAGUGAAACACACACAUUGCAUUCAAGAAUUUGUUUCUACAGUGAGACCACAUGGGCAUAGGGAGGGGAACAACACACAGAGGCCUGUAAAUGGGGAGUGGUUGUGGGGAGAGAGCAUCAGGAAAAAUAACUAAUUCAUGCCUGGCUUAAUACCUAGGUGAUGGGUUGAUAGGUGCAGGAAACCACUAUGGCUGGCACACAUUUACCUAUGUAACAAGGUUGUACAUCCUGCACAUGUGCCCCGGAACUUAAAAUAAAAAAAAUAAAGAACUUGUGUCUAAAUGUGUGGCCCAUGACUCUGAGCUGAACACUUGGUGUGGGAAUCAUCUAAUUUUUUUUUUUUUUUUUUGUAGUCUCUGCACCUACGAUGCACCAACUGGCAGUUCCAUCAUUUGAAAGAAAAUCUUCAAGGUCACUGCUCUUCGGAGGAAGGAGUGCAGUCUUCAUUCCAUACAAUGCUCCACAAAAACCUACUCAAUAUCCUGCCCAUAGUGUCCAUUCACUGAAUAAUGCCAUUGCCUGGUGGGCCGAAUCAUGAACGAGGCUACUUUAUGGGCACCCCGGGGACAUAGCAAAUAUUAGGCUUUGAAGAAAGAAGUGACAAGUACUUAACAAGGAAGAGAUUGAGAAUAUGUGAUAAAAUUACAAAUAAAGGAACCAAGGGUUAAACAAAGUUAGGAUGGUCGUGCAAUUUAUUGUCCAGGCUGAGAUAUGUUUGAGAGAUAAAGGAAGCACUAUAAACAUUAUACCAGGACAGCAGGCAUAAACUGGAACUAUCCUGUCCAACGAGGUAUAGGCAGCCUAAGCACAUGAGUUCUCUAGCAAAGGAACUUCAGUACUACAAAGAAAGUGUAUCUAUGAAUAGCAUGGAUUGAUGACAAGGUCAGAAAGAGGUACUGUGUUAGCAUUUUAGAGCUGCCAUCACAAAAUGCCACCGACUUGGUGGUUUAAACAACAAAAAUUUAUUUUCUCACAGUUCUGCAGGACAGAGGUCCAAGCUCAAGGUGUUGGCAAGGUUGGUUUCUUCUGAGGCCUCUCACCUUGGAUUGCAGGUGUCCAUCUUCAGCAUUUGUCUCCACAUUGUUUUCCCUCUGCAUAUGCCUGUGUCUUCAUCUCCUCUUUUUAUAAGGACACUAGUCAUACUGGGGUAGGGCCCGCCCUAAUCCACCCGCCAUUUAGCUUAAUUACCUCUUUACACCUGAUGUUAGCUGGCAGUCUGAGAAGAAAUUAAUUGCCUCUUUAAAGACCCUAUCUCCAAAUACAGUCACAUUCUGGGGCACUGGGGGUUGGGAUAUCAACAUACAGGUUUGGAGGGGACACAACUCAGCCCAUAACAGGUACUGAUUCCAACAAAGACCAGAGUUUGUGCUUCCAAAAAUGGCUGGGCCCUUAAAAACAAACAAACAAAAACAAACACAAUAAAAAGAUCAAGGAUUCCCAGAUUCUGAGAUUCUCAGACUCCCCAGGUAGAGGUCACUGGAGGCUGUGGUCACAUGCCAGCCCAGCAGAUGGAGCCAAGUUUCACAAUUAAGAAUGCGAACCAUGUUUCAAUGUUUAACUGAGAUGUCUACAGGUCCUGACAAAUUGGUAUAAAUAUCAGCCAUUGAGCUAGAGCGGGGUGCGGGAGGCUUCCUGCUGUGUCUAGGGCUGACCUUCAGUUGCAGGAUAAUGAAUAAGGCCUGCUGGGUGAACGCUGGAAGAAUUAGG